UCCCCUUCGGGGGAUAAGUAAAGUGGCGCACGGGUGAGUAACACGUAGGUAAUCUACCUUCGGGUGGGGAAUAACCCAGGGAAACUUGGGCUAACACCGCAUGAUGCAGCGGCACCACAUGGUGACAGUUGUUAAAGCGGGGGAUUUUCGGACCUCGCGCCUGAAGAGGAGCCUGCGGCGGAUUAGCUAGUUGGUGAGGUAACGGCUCACCAAGGUCACGAUCCGUAGCCGGCCUGAGAGGGCGGUCGGCCACACUGACACUGACAUACGGGUCAGACUCCUACGGGAGGCAGCAGUCGGGAAUUUUGGGCAAUGGGCGAAAGCCUGACCCAGCAACGCCGCGUGAAGGAUGAAAUCCCUCGGGACGUAAACUUCGCAAGAAUGGGAAGAAUUAGCGAGCGCUAAUACCGCUCGUGAUGACGGUACCAUUUGUAAGCUCCGGCUAACUCCGUGCCAGCAGCCGCGGUAAUACGGGGGGAGCAAGCGUUGUUCGGAUUUACUGGGCGUAAAGGGCGCGUAGGCGGUCAGCACAAGUCAGUUGUGAAAUCUCCGGGCUUAACCCGGAAAGGUCAACUGAUACUGUGCGACUAGAGUGCGGAAGGGGCAACUGGAAUUCUCGGUGUAGCGGUGAAAUGCGUAGAUAUCGAGAGGAACACCUGCGGCGAAGGCGGGUUGCUGGGCCGACACUGACGCUG
rnacentral:rRNA from 1 species